CAAGCCGAUACGCUGAGCCACCCAGGCGUUAAUUUUUUGUUUCAUAGCUUACAGGUGUUCCCUCCCGAUACGCCUUCUGUACAUAACUCCCCAUCCCAGAGUCUGAUUCCAGGUAAGCCAAUCUAAGACAGCACAUUAUAUCAUGAUUCUUAGUGUGGAAAGAAGA
rnacentral:lncRNA from 1 species